UGGGUGACAUCACCGGCGGACUUUCCGCACGAGGGGCUGAGGGACUCAUUAGCACGUAGCGGAUUGUGGAAAGUUCGGGACUUGGAGACUUUAGGGGACACAGCCGGACUGUGCAGAACUAUCUCUAUCCGGGCAAAUCCACAUUGUGUCUGAGACCUGCUAAAUGAGGGACAAAUGGGCUCAGUUACAGCGGUGUGCAUGCCAAGAAAACAAAAUGUCCAAGUUAUCUUAUGGGGGAGAGUGGGGUAAGAUGAGCCAUUUUUCAUAUUUCAGAUCACUACAUCAAGGCAAUCAUAGUUUUGCCUCUAACUCGUGUAUCUGUAUAUAUUUCAAGAUGUUGUGCAUCCCUGCAAACCAACAGAAUGACUGUAAACAUAACUGUCUUGAUAAUAUAGUAUGCCAAAAAAGUGGUCAAGUGAGUGGGGUAAGGUGAGCCUCAUCUCUACUACCCCCCACUUUCCACCCCAGCCCUCCUUCACUUCCUCUUUCCAUAAAUAACAGUCACUUCUUCACAUUCAUGUGUAUUUUUAUCUAUUAUACGCUAUUCAACUGGUACAAUAAUUCAUUUUAUUAGUAUUGCAUAUAACCAGUAGUAGUAGUAAUAGUAGUAGUAGUUGUUUAUUCGCACACAAAACCACUAAAUCAAGAAUCAUGUGUUGAAUAUUGACUGAAAAGGUAUAGGCAAAAGCAGAUUGCUCAUAAAAGCCUAUCCUGGGUUGUCAACUUUUUUUAGGCUACCGACCUCCAGAAAAGCAAAAACACCACAACAACAUGUAAUUAAUCACACUUAUAAGCUUCAAAAAUAGCUUAACAGACCAUUUUCUUAAAAACCAAAAAAGAAUGACAUGUUUUUAGAUUUAUGUUUGCAUCAUUCUAGAAUUUAACUCCAGUAACAGAGACACAUCUCCUUUUCAU